rnacentral:rRNA from 1 species
AGACCACCAGCUAAGGUCCCAAAAUAUAUGUUAAGUGGAAAAGGAUGUGGCGUUGCCCAGACAACUAGGAUGUUGGCUUAGAAGCAGCCAUCAUUUAAAGAGUGCGUAAUAGCUCACUAGUCGAGUGACACUGCGCCGAAAAUGUACCGGGGCUAAACAUAUUACCGAAGCUGUGGAUUGUCCUUUGGACAAUGGUAGGAGAGCGUUCUAAGG